AAGGACGACGUUUGUCAAAUUUUAAAGCGAAGACCAUAAAUAUGGGUGUGACUAUUGAAGUUUAUCGGGCCAGGAUUGGUUCACAUCACAAUUUUACAGAUUGUCGCAACAGUCUGUGUCGUCUUAAAGACUUUCAAAUGAUGUGGAGGAAAAUCCAGGUCCUAGGACUAUAAAUGAUAUAGUUGACCCUGCUUGUACAAUCCAUGCUGAUUUUAAUCAAGGUAAUGACUUAAUGUUUGGUGUGAAUGCUGGUAAGCAGUGUGUUGCCAUGUCACUAUAUGCAAUUGUUUACAAAGAAAUUAAAUCAGUCAAUAUUUGGGACAAGUCAAUUCUAAACACAAUUUUAGUAAGUGGAAACAGUUUGUAUUGUGUUAUCAGCCAAAGUAUAAAUAAGAGUUAUUUAUUAUUAACUGAUGUCCCUGAGUUUGUAGACAUAGAUAAUCAUACCUUUAAUUUGCAAUACAGUGAUUCCUUUUCAGGAGCAUUAUAUUUGAGUGAAAAUAGUCUCCCAUAUGUGACUAUUGAGCAUGCUUUGAAUGAAGUAUUUUAUUCUUUAAACUAUAAAAGUUGUUUACUUACAAUUGGUAUGAACACUGUGGCAAUCAUGAUGCCUUUUCCUGAUGUGUUUAAAGUGUUUGAUUCUCAUUCACGAGAUAUGUAUGGU